GCAGUAGCCACGGUAAAACGUAGGUGGCAAGCGUUAUCCGGAAUUAUUGGGCGUAAAGCGCGCGUAGGCGGUUUUUUAAGUCUGAUGUGAAAGCCCACGGCUCAACCGUGGAGGGUCAUUGGAAACUGGAAAACUUGAGUGCAGAAGAGGAAAGUGGAAUUCCAUGUGUAGCGGUGAAAUGCGCAGAGAUAUGGAGGAACACCAGUGGCGAAGGCGACUUUCUGGUCUGUAACUGACGCUGAUGUGCGAAAGCGUGGGGAUCAAACAGGAUUAGAUACCCGGGUAGUCCCUGUCUCUUAUAC
rnacentral:rRNA from 1 species